UGAUGGCGGCGGUGGUGG
rnacentral:misc_RNA from 1 species